rnacentral:lncRNA from 1 species
UGGCUUGUUAUUGCUUAUAGGAUGCGUAGGGAGGAAAACAGCAAGGUGCACUAAGAGGAAAAAUGCAAGGAGCGAGAGAGGAGGAGAAGAAAACUUGCUAAUAGUUGACACAAUGUUGCUGCUGCUGAUAUCCUGCGCUGGGAGUAAGGCACCAGGGAAUAAGAAAAAGAAGUGUGAAAGAAAGAAAAGGAAAUGGAGUAGUUCUCAGCCAACCAN